GGUUUUCGGACCUAGAGACCGGCGCACGGGUGCGUAACGCGUAUGCAAUCUACCUUUCACAGAGGGAUAGCCCAGAGAAAUUUGGAUUAAUACCUCAUAGUAUAAUACAAUCGCAUGAUUGAAUUAUUAAAGUCACAACGGUGAAAGAUGAGCAUGCGUCCCAUUAGCUAGUUGGUAAGGUAACGGCUUACCAAGGCGACGAUGGGUAGGGGUCCUGAGAGGGAGAUCCCCCACACUGGUACUGAGACACGGACCAGACUCCUACGGGAGGCAGCAGUGAGGAAUAUUGGACAAUGGGCGCAAGCCUGAUCCAGCCAUGCCGCGUGCAGGAUGACGGUCCUAUGGAUUGUAAACUGCUUUUAUACGAGAAGAAACACCUCUACGAGUAGAGACUUGACGGUAUCGUAAGAAUAAGGAUCGGCUAACUCCGUGCCAGCAGCCGCGGUAAUACGGAGGAUCCAAGCGUUAUCCGGAAUCAUUGGGUUUAAAGGGUCCGUAGGCGGUCAGAUAAGUCAGUGGUGAAAGCCCAUCGCUCAACGGUGGAACGGCCAUUGAUACUGUCUGACUUGAAUUAUUAGGAAGUAACUAGAAUAUGUAGUGUAGCGGUGAAAUGCUUAGAGAUUACAUGGAAUACCAAUUGCGAAGGCAGGUUACUACUAAUGGAUUGACGCUGAUGGACGAAAGCGUGGGUAGCGAACAGGAUUAGAUACCCUGGUAGUCCACGCCGUAAACGAUGGAUACUAGCUGUUGGAAGCAAUUUCAGUGGCUAAGCGAAAGUGAUAAGUAUCCCACCUGGGGAGUACGUUCGCAAGAAUGAAACUCAAAGGAAUUGACGGGGGCCCGCACAAGCGGUGGAGCAUGUGGUUUAAUUCGAUGAUACGCGAGGAACCUUACCAAGGCUUAAAUGUAGAUUGACCGGUUUGGAAACAGACUUUUUCGCAAGACAAUUUACAAGGUGCUGCAUG
rnacentral:rRNA from 1 species